UCAGCCGGUCUCGCGAAUGCUUAGAUGUAAAGUUUGAUCAUGGCUCAGGCCGAACGCNUACGGCGUGCCUAAUACAUGCAAGUCGAGCGAACAGAGAAGGAGCUUGCUCCUUUGACGUUAGCGGCGGACGGGUGAGUAACACGUGGGCAACCUACCUUAUAGUUUGGGAUAACUCCGGGAAACCGGGGCUAAUACCGAAUAAUCUAUUUUACUUCAUGGUGAAAUACUGAAAGACGGUUUCGGCUGUCGCUAUAAGAUGGGCCCGCGGCGCAUUAGCUAGUUGGUGAGGUAACGGCUCACCAAGGCAACGAUGCGUAGCCGACCUGAGAGGGUGAUCGGCCACACUGGGACUGAGACACGGCCCAGACUCCUACGGGAGGCAGCAGUAGGGAAUCUUCCACAAUGGGCGAAAGCCUGAUGGAGCAACGCCGCGUGAGUGAACGAACGGUUUUCGGAUCGUAAAACUCUGUUGUAACGGGCAAGAACAAGUACAGUAGUAACUGGCUGUACUUGACGGUACCUUUAUUAGAAAGCCACCGUAACUACGUUGCCAGCAGCCCGCCGGGGUAAUACNGUAGGUGGGCAAGCCGUUGUUUCCGGGGCACAUUACUUUGGGGGGCCGUUUAAAAAGCGCCGCCUCGC
rnacentral:rRNA from 1 species